rnacentral:rRNA from 1 species
UACGAAGGGAGCUAGCGUUGUUCGGAAUCACUGGGCGUAAAGCGCACGUAGGCGGAUGUGUCAGUCAGGGGUGAAAUCCCGGAGCUCAACUUCGGAACUGCCUUUGAUACAGCACGUCUUGAGUCCGGAAGAGGUGGGUGGAAUUCCUAGUGUAGAGGUGAAAUUCGUAGAUAUUAGGAAGAACACCAGUGGCGAAGGCGGCUCACUGGCCCGAUACUGACGCUGAGGUGCGAAAGCGUGGGGAGCAAACAGG